rnacentral:rRNA from 1 species
ACGGGAGUAGCAAUACUCCAGUGGCGGACGGGUGAGUAACGCGUGAGAAUCUACCUUCUGGUCGGGGACAACCACUGGAAACGGUGGCUAAUACCGGAUAUGCCGCAACGUGAAAGAUUUAUCGCCAGAAGAGGAGCUCGCGUCUGAUUAGCUAGUUGGUAGGGUAAAAGCCUACCAAGGCAUCGAUCAGUAGCUGGUCUGAGAGGACGAUCAGCCACACUGGGACUGAGACACGGCCCAGACUCCUACGGGAGGCAGCAGUGGGGAAUUUUCCGCAAUGGGCGAAAGCCUGACGGAGCAAGACCGCGUGAGGGAAGAAGGCUCUUGGGUUGUAAACCUCUUUUGUCAGGGAAGAACACAAUGACGGUACCUGACGAAUCAGCCUCGGCUAACUCCGUGCCAGCAGCCGCGGUAAUACGGAGGAGGCAAGCGUUAUCCGGAAUUAUUGGGCGUAAAGCGUCCGUAGGUGGCUAGUCAAGUCUGCGGUCAAAGACUGGGGCUUAACCCUGGAAAGGCCGUGGAAACUGACAAGCUAGAGUGCAGUAGGGGUAGAGGGAAUUCCCGGUGUAGCGGUGAAAUGCGUAGAGCUCGGGAAGAACAUCGGUGGCGAAAGCGCUCUACUGGACUGCAACUGACACUCAGGGACGAAAGCUAGGGGAGCGAAUGGGAUUAGAUACCCCAGUAGUCCUAGCCGUAAACGAUGGAUACUAG